rnacentral:snRNA from 1 species
GGAUGUGAGGGCGAUCUGGCUGCGACAUCUGUCACCCCAUUGAUCACCAGGGUUGAUUCGGCUGAUCUGGCUGGCUAGGCGGGUGUCCCCUUCCUCCCUCACCGCUCCAUGUGCGUCCCUCCCGAAGCUGCACGCUCGGUCGAAGAGGACGACCAUCCCCGAUAGAGGAGGACCGUUCUUCGGUCAAGGGUAUACGAGUAGCUGCGCUCCCCUGCUAGAACCUCCAAACAAGCUCUCAAGGAAAAAAUAUUGAAACAAACAUAACCAUUCCUUGAGAUCUUCUACUCAUUGCUUCCUGAACUUUCCAGUGAUACAG